rnacentral:rRNA from 1 species
UACGAAGGGGGCUAGCGUUGCUCGGAAUCACUGGGCGUAAAGCGCACGUAGGCGGACUCUUAAGUCGGUGGUGAAAUCCUGGAGCUCAACUCCAGAACUGCCUUCGAUACUGGGAGUCUCGAGUCCGGGAGAGGUGAGUGGAACUGCGAGUGUAGAGGUGAAAUUCGUAGAUAUUCGGAAGAACACCAGUGGCGAAGGCGGCUCACUGGCCCGGUACUGACGCUGAGGUGCGAAAGCGUGGGGAGCAAACAGG